ACUCCUACGGGAGGCAGCAGUGGGGAAUAUUGCACAAUGGGCGCAAGCCUGAUGCAGCCAUGCCGCGUGUAUGAAGAAGGCCUUCGGGUUGUAAAGUACUUUCAGCAGUGAGGAAGGUGGUAUGUUAAUAGCAUAUUCAUUUGACGUUUAGCUGCAGAGAAGCACCGGCUAACUCCGUGCCAGCAGCCGCGGUAAUACGGAGGGUGCGAGCGUUAAUCGGAAUUACUGGGCGUAAAGCGCAUGCAGGUGGUUUGUUAAGUCAGAUGUGAAAGCCCGGGGCUCAACCUCGGAAUUGCAUUUGAAACUGGCAAACUAGAGUACUGUAGAGGGGGGUAGAAUUUCAGGUGUAGCGGUGAAAUGCGUAGAGAUCUGAAGGAAUACCGGUGGCGAAGGCGGCCCCCUGGACAGAUACUGACACUCAGAUGCGAAAGCGUGGGGGAGCAAACAGGAUUAGAUACCCUGGUAGCUACGAGU
rnacentral:rRNA from 1 species